GACGAACGCUGGCGGCGUGCCUAAUACAUGCAAGUCGAACGCUGAAGGAGGAGCUUGCUCUUCUGGAUGAGUUGCGAACGGGUGAGUAACGCGUAGGUAACCUGCCUGGUAGCGGGGGAUAACUAUUGGAAACGAUAGCUAAUACCGCAUAAGAGUAGAUGUUGCAUGACAUUUACUUAAAAGGUGCAAUUGCAUCACUACCAGAUGGACCUGCGUUGUAUUAGCUAGUUGGUGGGGUAACGGCUUACCAAGGCGACGAUACAUAGCCGACCUGAGAGGGGGAUCGGCCACACUGGGACUGAGACACGGCCCAGACUCCUACGGGAGGCAGCAGUAGGGAAUCUUCGGCAAUGGACGGAAGUCUGACCGAGCAACGCCGCGUGAGUGAAGAAGGUUUUCGGAUCGUAAAGCUCUGUUGUAAGAGAAGAACGAGUGUGAGAGUGGAAAGUUCACACUGUGACGGUAUCUUACCAGAAAGGGACGGCUAACUACGUG
rnacentral:rRNA from 1 species